rnacentral:rRNA from 1 species
UACGUAGGGUGCAAGCGUUAAUCGGAAUUACUGGGCGUAAAGCGUGCGCAGGCGGCUUUGCAAGUCAGCUGUGAAAUCCCCGGGCUUAACCUGGGAACUGCAUUUGUGACUGCAUGGCUGGAGUGCGGCAGAGGGGGAUGGAAUUCCGCGUGUAGCAGUGAAAUGCGUAGAUAUGCGGAGGAACACCGAUGGCGAAGGCAAUCCCCUGGGCCUGCACUGACGCUCAUGCACGAAAGCGUGGGGAGCAAACAGG